AUUAUGCCGUUCAUUUUAGCGGAGAGUGAACUUCGGUAGUAGAAGACGCUAUCUACCCUCAUGGAACAAAAACGCCAUCAUUCAUUAAUUGCCUCGGCUUGAAUCGUUUGACCUCACCAGGCACCUGUUACAGGGCACGCAGAGUUCACGCAUGGAUGCCAUUUUGUGUCCUGGAUUUGCGGGGGGAGAAAG